AUGAUAUUACUGCUAGCAGUGAGACUGCUGGAGUUUGACUGACGCAUCAACAUGGGUCUCAAUGAGCCCUUAUAGUGGAUGUUGGCAAUAAUUGAUCCACUGUAGGAGUGGGAUGUGUAUUAAGAUGGAAUCUAUCGACCCUAGCAGAAGGGAGUAGUCUUAUAAGAUUUAAGAAGCUGAGUCUUUAGAUCUAUGGCCAUAACAG
rnacentral:lncRNA from 1 species